GAUGAAGAACGCAGCGAAAUGCGAUAAGUAAUGUGAAUUGCAGAAUUCAGUGAAUCAUCGAAUCUUUGAACGCACAUUGCGCCCCUUGGUAUUCCGAGGGGCAUGCCUGUUCGAGCGUCAUUACACCACUCAAGCACUGCUUGGUAUUGGGCAUCGUCCGUCGAAAGGCGGGCGUGCCUCUAAGACCUCGGCGGGGUUUCUCCAACUUCGGGCGUAGUAGAGUUAAAUCGAACGUCUUAUAAGCUUGGUGGGACUCCAUUGCCGUUAAACCUUUUAUUUUCUAGGUUGACCUCGGAUCAGGUAGGGAUACCCGCUGAACUUAAGCAUAUCAAUAAGCGGAGGA
rnacentral:misc_RNA from 1 species